CCUACGGGAGGCAGCAGUGGGGGGUAUUGGACAAUGGGCGAAAGCCUGAUGCAGCCAUGCCGCGUGUAUGAAGAAGGCCUUCGGGUUGUAAAGUACUUUCAGCGGGGAGGAAGGUGUUGUGGUUAAUACCCGGUAGGAAAGACAUCACUCGCAGAAGAAGCACCGGCUAACUCCGUGCCAGCAGCCGCGGUAAU
rnacentral:rRNA from 1 species